UACAGAGGGGGCAAGCGUUGUUCGGAAUUACUGGGCGUAAAGGGCGCGUAGGCGGCCUUCUAAGUCGAACGUGAAAUCCCUGGGCUCAACCCAGGAACUGCGUCCGAUACUGGAAGGCUUGAAUCCGGGAGAGGGAUGCGGAAUUCCAGGUGUAGCGGUGAAAUGCGUAGAUAUCUGGAGGAACACCGGUGGCGAAAGCGGCGCUCUGGGCCUAAACUGACGCUGAGGGGCGAAAGCGUGGGGAGCGAACGGG
rnacentral:rRNA from 1 species